GGAAAUCACCCUGUGAUUCAAAAAACGACCUUCUGGCGCUAUAUAAAUGAAGUCGGGGUUCCGUUCUUCCCCUUCAUAUCCUCCUGACCACGCCACCAAGCGCAGGAAAUCGAGAAAAGCAGUGCCACGGAGGGGAGAUCCAUGUCGCUGUCGUGGCCGGCGGUAUGAACCACCGUUCGGGGUCCUGUGAGGGGUCUGGGUGACCCAUCCUAUCCUGGCGGAGAUUACUGUGGCAUCUACGGGAGGAUUGGGCUCCGUGAUCCGACUGAAUUGCUCGCCGGAAUAGCAUACCCGCCAUGGUUCGACCUGCGCGCGUGGGCAGCAUCCUUCGCACCCUUGACGUUGGUGAGAAUCCCCAUCAUAGUACUUGCCUCGCUCUUUGGAUCACAGGAGACCUUUUGAUUUGAAGUUUAGGGUCCUGGGGUGCUGGACCAUGUGUCACCGGUGGGGUCUCCGCCGUGGGAUCCUAGCGGCGCGGCCGUGUUCGUUCGUCUGGGGUAGAAGACAACUCUAGAGCCGUUGAUCUCUCGUUUUGCGGUCGAGAUUAGAUCAAACAUAUCCUUUCGCUUCUUUAACUCGGGACCGUCCGAUCGGGAUUUGGCGCUUGUGAGCGGGCCUGGCAAUUUAAAAUCCGGGGCGUUCACCCUUGAUCCUGCGGUCUCUGUGCGUAGUGGUUCAUGGAAUGGCGGAUUUAAUCAGGGUCGUCUGUUUUAGAUCCUACGUCCCAGAAUAGCCAAUAUCCCUUCGCAGAACUCCUUUUACAUAAGAGCCCUCGGGUUUUAGUAAAAUCAACCCGCCGUCCAUAUGGGGUUAGCCUGUGUCUGGGAACUUUUGCAGAGUAGCCCUGGCCUUUUGUUUAUUCAUGCGCCCAGUCCAGAAGCUUAGAAAAUUCAGGAAAAUAAUUUAUGAAAUAGUUUUUAUGUAUAAAAAUAUAUCCAGAACUUAUUUAAUUCAUAUAAAUUCCAUUUUUACUUCUUUUUAACCUAUUCCAGUUGCAAUAAUCUUGUAUUAAUAUUGUCUAUCAACUAGUCACAUUGUUUAGCCAUGAAACUAGAAUUAAAAUUGUUCAUUAGGAUUAAUCUAUUCUAAGCACUAAAUAAUUUCGAAAAUUCAUAACUUAAUAAUCGUAGCUCCGAAUUUAGUGAUUCUUGUUCCCACGAUCUCGUAGCAACGCGUAGAUUAUUAUUAUAUAGUUUGUUCUUAUGUUUGGUGUACUGUUAAUUUUUCCUACACCAUGUUUGUUUGUAUUGCUACGACUAGCGGUGAGGACACGUGUCAUCUGAAGAGCAAGUUGGUACUUGGAAUCUCAAGUCCCAGGCAAGUUGUGCUCUUAAUCACUUCUUUUUACCCAGUCAUGUCCUAAUUAAUCAUAAUGAUCUGCAUAGGUUAAUUUUGAUGGGACCCAAUAGGUUACCCUAGUUUGACUAUCUUUAUAUCUUGUUCACCACUGGAUUUUCGGGUAGUACCUGCUAUUGCUUUAUGUGGUUUUGGGUAUAGAGAUACAUUUUAUUCAUGAUUAUCUUUUAUUAUCAGUUAUUAUUUACUGUUCAUGAUAAGAUCAUUAUGUUAAUUGGAACAUGAAGAACCACCCGGGAAAACAGUGCUACCACAAGGGUUUAUGGACGCCCUUGGCUAACUAAUUAGGAAAGCUAGUGGAAGACUACCUUACCCGAAAGGGGCAAGGGCAGUAGGGGAGUGGUCAGUGUAGGGAGGUCCUUGGUUGAUUUUGCUGCGAUGGCGGUCAGGCGAGGAAUUCCUGCACUGGAGCUUCCUAUAAACUGUAGCGGGUUUUCUGAAGCUAGUGGAACUUUGUAAAGGCCUCGUAGUGUUACCCUGCCUCGCCUCCUUGGUAGAGGUGUAUGGGAUUGGCCGUCUCUUGGCAGAUGGGUAACAUGACUUGUGGGUAAAAAUGUGAAACCUCUGCAGAGUGUAAAACUGGUAUACUAGCCGUGCUCACGGUCAUGAGCAGCUCGAUUAAAGAUACGCAACCUCUGCAGAGUGUAAAACUGGUAUACUAGCCGUGCUCACGGUCAUGAGCAGCUCAGACACUCACAUGAUUAAAUUAUGGAACUUAAACUCAAUUUGUCAUAUGCAUUGCAUCGCAGGUGAGGUUGUUACUUUUGUUCUAUUACUUAAUUGGGUUGGUAUUUACUUAUACUUAGUAAUUGCUAAUAAAAUUUUGACCAACUUUAAAAGCAAUGCUCAGCUCUAACCAUCCUCUUUGGUAAGCCUUACACUUCACGUGAGCUCCCACCUUUGGCGAGUUCAUGCACAUUAUUCCCCACAAUUUGUUGAGCGAUGAACGUAUGUGAGCUCACUCUUGCUGUCUCACACCCCCCACAGGUCAAGAACAGGUACCGCAGGAUGAGGCGCAUGGAGGUUGCUGCGAUAUGUUUGUAAGAGAUCUAGGCCGUCGUCUCCCAGUCAACUUUGGGUUGCUGGACCGUUGUCUCCUUAUAAUGUAAUUAUUUAUUUAUUU
rnacentral:lncRNA from 1 species